AUGGUCGCCGGUAAUCGCCCGAACCGAAGCUCUGAUAUCAAUUGUUGUUGCCACGCCUGGCUGCUCUCUCUCUCUCUCAACUCACUCACGGACAGAGGUAGGAGAAAAAAGACACGAGACAAAGUUUUCUGGCCGGCGCAUGAACACUGCCACGGGCGCAUGAACAACCCAAUCUUCUCUUUGUGUUCACAGGCUACAUGCUCGGCAACUCCGUGCUUUACAUCAGCGAUUAGCAAAGGGAUUUAUAACCAAGCUGGCUGCACACGACGCAACCCACCCGCCCCACUACCUGGGCACGAUCCGCAUGCUCCGUCGCUCCCGCACGACGCGCUCAGACGCGAUCGGCACGGCCGGCUCAGCUGCUGGAUCGUGGAUCUCCCGCCUAACUCGCUAACAGCACACACUCACGCACACUCAUACGCAUGCACCGCACACACGCGCCACGGCCGUACACGCAGACAUGGCUUAUGGCUAACACAGCGUGGCUGGGUCUACAACCCAGCUAAGCUAGCUCCACCUCCAUGA
rnacentral:rRNA from 1 species